AGAGAGACUGGAGAGAGAGAGAGAGAGAGAGAGAGAGUCGUGCGCGCUGAGCCAUGAGCCAUUUUUGGGAAGCUCUUCGUGACAGUCGGCUGUGUCGUGAUCUUUUGGAGAGGAGAACAUUUACGCAUGGUGCGCAACAUUUAUCCGAUCCACCGGCCACAUUUACAUUGACAAUAUUCCCACCAUCACAAAAGGGCAUAGCCUGGUUGCUAAUAUUAGCAAUCUCAUAGGCCAGAAGCCCCAAGACCAAGAAAAAAAUAACUGAAAAACUACUUCAAGAAGACAUAACACAAUGAAAGGCCCUGCUGUCUACAUUUAUCAAUGGUGCUUAACAAGAAGAAAAAGCAUCAGUACUGACCUGGAGAAAUGCCUUUCCUGGGAGGAGCACCACACCGAGGUUUUGAUGUCAGUAUAAAAGAGCGGACAAGCAUAGUGGAGGAGUUCUUAAUAGGAAUCAGUUUUUAAAAUAGAUGCACUAUGGAACUUGAUACCUCAAUGUUAUUGUGGUAAAUAGUGGAUGGUAAAGAUCCAGUAAUGACACAGCAAUACCAUAUUGAGAAUUUAAAAAAAAAAAAUUCUUAACCUAUUGACAUGAUUUGGAUAUGUUUGUCUACUGGGGAAGAUUUUGUGGUCCUGGAAUCACAUUUGUGUCUUUCUAUUUCCAUUCAGCUGCCAAAAGAAAGAGACAUGGAGUGAUGCUGAUGCCAGCUUUAAGGUAGAUUCAGAUUAAAUGAUCUCCUAGGAUUUCAGGCUUUUUUGACUUGUUUUGUUUUGUUUUUUUUACAUAUUUGAACAGGAAAACAUUUGAUCCUCUUUGAAACAGUGUCUAUUAAUAAAGUCGAUAUACUUGAACAAAAGUAAAAUUAGGAAAAUUUAUACAUUUUCCUAAUAUAUAAACAAGACAGGUUCCACCUGCACUCCCUGAGCAGGUUCUAAUCACUGGCACCCGAUCUUGAACACCUGAUUCUAAUUUGAUGGAUUUUUGAAGGUGUGGUAAAUGUAGGGGUGUACUUACUUUUCCCCAUGUGACUGAUCCGUUUUUUGGGGCACGGUUUCAAAGAGGAUCAAAUGUUCGCUUGUCCAAAUAUGUCAAAAAAGCCAACGAUUUCCAUGGGGUGUACUUAUUUUUACACACGACUCUAUAUUGGUAUGUGUAAUUCAUCUUCAAAGUUCAAUCUUUAAACAUUAAACAGAAUGUCCUGUCACUGAUGAUCUCUGUUCAAUAAAAGCACUAAACUGUAAAUAAUUUGACUGCCAUUAUUGACCUUUUCUUUUAAAUUUUGUAACGUAUCAAAUAAAUAAAGGAUGUUCAAAACAAAGAAUGAUGAUAAAGCUUUAUUUUGUGUACUUUAUACUAUGUUGGCAUGUUGAGUAAACCACCACUGUGUGUUUAAAUGUGCAGAGUUAACAAAUACACACAAUACCAUCAGUUAAGUUUAUUUGCAUUUGUCUUUUACGUGAUGAUAAAAAUAAUCAGCUACUUGUCCUCAGGUCCUUCAUGACUUAAUUGAAAGUAUGUACUUCAUGAUUAUAGUGGAAAUAUUCUCUACAUUUCUGCAUGAAUAUGACCUAAAACAUCAUCAGAAGUCCUGACAGUCGAUAAAGAGAACCCAGUUAAACAAAUGAGACAAAAAGUAUUAUACUUGGUCAUUUAUUAUUUUAUUUAGGACGUAUUUAUUGAGGAAGAUGAUCCAAUAUUGCACAUCUGAGUGGUAAAAGUAUUUAAAUUUCAGUAUGUGGUGUGACCCUCUUGUGCAGCAAUAGCUGCAGAUAAGCGUUUGGGGUAAGUGUUGAUCGGUCCUGCACGUCGGCUCGGAGGAGUUCUAUCCCGUUCCUCAGUACAGAACGGCUUCAACUCUGGGGUGUUGGUGGGUUUCCUCACACGACCUGCUCGCUUCAGGUUCUUCCACGACAUUUCUACUGGAUUAAGGUCAGGACUUUGACUCCAGAACAUUACCUUUAUUCUUCUUUAACCGUUCUUUGGUAGAACGACUCGUGUGUUUAGGGUCGUUGUCUUGCUGCAUGACCCACUUUCUCUUGAGAUUCAGAUCACAGAUAGAUGUCCUGAUAUAAUUCAGAAUUCAUUGUUCCGUCAGUGAUGGGAAGUCGUCCUGGCCCACGUGCAGCAAAACUGGCCCAAACCAUGACACUACCACCACCAUGUUUCACAGAUAGUAUAAGGUUAUUAUGCUGGAAUGCAGUGUUUUCCUUUCUCCAAACAUAACUCUUCUCAUUUAAACCAAAAAGCUCUAUUUUGGUCUCAUCCAUCCACAAAACAUUUUUCUAUUAGCCUUCUAGCUUGUCCACAUGAUUUUUAGCAAACCGCAGACGGGCAGCGAUGUUCUUUUUGGAGAGCGGUGGCUUUCUCCUCGCAACCCUGCCAUGAUCAUCAUUGUUGUUCAGAGUUCUCCUGAUGGUGGACUCAUGAACAUUAACAUUAGGCAAUGUGAGAGAGACCUUUAGAUGCUCAGCAGUUACCCAGGGUUCCUUUGUGGCCUCAUGGACUAUUACACAGCUUGCUCUUGGAGUGAUUUUUGUUGGUCUCCACUCCUGAGGAGGGGAACAAUGGUCUUGAAUUUCCUCCAUUUGUACGCAAUCUGUCCGACUGUGGAUUAGUGAUGAGUCCAAACUCUUUAGAGAUGGUUUUGAAACCUUUUCCAGCUCGAUGAGCAUCAACAACUCGUUUUCUGAGG